rnacentral:rRNA from 1 species
CCUACGGGAGGCAGCAGUGGGGAAUAUUGGACAAUGGGGGGAACCCUGAUCCAGCGACGCCGCGUGAGUGAAGAAGGAUUUCGGUAUGUAAAGCUCUAUCAGCAGGGAAGAAAAUGACGGUACCUGACUAAGAAGCCCCGGCUAACUACGUGCCAGCAGCCGCGGUAAUACGUAGGGGGCAAGCGUUAUCCGGAUUUACUGGGUGUAAAGGGAGGGUAGACGGUGCAGCAAGUCUGUUGUGAAAGGUCGGGGCUCAACCCCGGGACUGCAUUGGAAACUGUGGAACUGGAGUACAGGAGAGGUAAGCGGAAUUCCUAGUGUAGCGGUGAAAUGCGUAGAUAUUAGGAGGAACACCAGUGGCGAAGGCAGCUUACUGGAGUGUAACUGACGUUGAGGCUCGAAAGCGUGGGGAGCGAACAGGAUUAGAUACCCCAGUAGUC